UAUCUGUUGCCAGCAAGUGAUGUUGGGGACGUCAGAUGGAACUGCCGGUGACAAACCGGAGGAAGGUGGGGACGGACGUCAAGUCAUCAUGGCCCUUAUGUCCUGGGCUACACACGUGCUACAAUGGCCGGUACAGAGCGCAGCUAGGCCGCGAGGCGGAGCGAAUCGCGAAAAGCCGGUCUCAGUACGGAUUGGAGUCUGAAACCCGACUCCAUGAAGUUGGAAUCGCUAGUAAUCGCGCAUCAGCAUGGCGCGGUGAAUACGUUCCCGGGCCUU
rnacentral:rRNA from 1 species